UGGGGGAUAUUGCACAAUGGGCGAAAGCCUGAUGCAGCGACGCCGCGUGGGGGAUGAAGGCCUUCGGGUUGUAAACUUCUUUUGCUCUGAACAAGGCAUGCUAAUGGGUGUGUUGAGGGUAGGUGUUGAUUAGCGCCGGCUAACUACGUGCCAGCAGCCGCGGUAAUACGUAGGGCGCGAGCGGUGUCCGGAAUUAUUGGGCGUAAAGGGCUUGUAGGUGGCUGGGUGCGUCUGUCGUGAAAGCUCAGGGCUUAACUGUGGGUUUGCGGUGGGUACGGGCUGGCUUGAGUGCAGUAGGGGAGGCUGUAAUUCCUGGUGUAGCGGUGGAAUGCGCAGAUAUCAGGAGGAAUACCGGUGGCGAAGGCGGGGCUCUGGGCUGUUACUGACACUGAGGAGCGAAAGCAUGGGGAGCGAACAGG
rnacentral:rRNA from 1 species